rnacentral:tRNA from 1 species
CCAAUAGCUCAACUGGUAGAACACCUGCUCGGUAAGUAGGGUGUCACCGGUUCCAUUCCGGUUCACGGC